rnacentral:rRNA from 1 species
CCCUUAGAUGUUCUGGGCCGCACGCGCGCUACACUGACGCAUUCAACGAGUCUAAAACCUGGUCUGAUAGGGCUGGGUAAUCUUUUGAAUGUGCGUCGUGAUUGGGAUAAAUGAUUGUAAUUCUUCAUUUUCAACGAGGAAUGCCUAGUAAACGCAAGUCAUCAGCUUGCAUUGAUUACGUCCCUGCCCUUUGUACACACCGCCCGUCGCUCCUACCGAUUGAAUGAUCCGAUGAAUAUCAUGGACUGAGAGUGUUAGAGUUUUCGGACUUCUACACUUCUCGGGAAGUGAAGUGAAUCUUAUCAUUUAGAGGGAGGAGAAGUCGUAACA